rnacentral:lncRNA from 1 species
AGAGUUUAUAUAUGUUAUCUCGCUUAGCAAUGCUAUCAUUAGGUGUUCUUAUCUCCAUAAAAACAGGGAAAUAGACACUUUGAGAAGUAUUCUGCUCAAGUGUGGAGCUGGUGAACACAGGACCCGGACUCAAACCUGCAUCCAUGUGACUCAUGCCUGCUCCACUAUUCAGGUCUCAUUUUCAAGGAUUUUUCAAUUAAAGAACAUGAUACAGGAGAAGAUGGAGUCGAUUUACUUUUCUUCUUCCUCCAGUUUUUGUGCUUUGCCUGGAUUCUCAUGGUGUCUGCCUAACUCCCUCCACCAUUUCUACCCAUACAGGACCUCCUUGUCUCUAUCACAUUCCACUUUUAAGCUGAAAGUAACCUAAUCAGUUUUACCUUCAAAGUGAAAAAUGUUCAAUUAGUUUUGAAGUUGUAUCUUGAUCCUCCCAAAUAAACAAGGAUUUCUAGUAAGUGUAGAAAGAAGAUUUGAGUAGAUGAACAUUUAUCUUUCCC